ensembl:lncRNA
GAAAUAAACCUCUUAACCCACCUGAUAUUUCAUGUAUUUCGUCGUAAAAGUAAAACCACAAGUUGGUGUCUGCAGUCACAGAGUAUAAUGGAAACAGGGGUAAAGAUCUUGUCACUCCUCCCCUACAUACCUACAACUCACCUCCCAUUUGCUAACUUCAGAACAGAAAAGACCGAACCAGAGAACAGUAAUACAUACAUUGCUGCAGAGCCCAAGGCAGAAAGAAAAUUACCAUCAAAAUCCAAUAAUCAGACAAAUGGAUCCCAGCCAGUCUUUCAGUCACACCCGGCCAUAUCCAGGACAGUCCGUCAUCGGUGUGCAGCCUGCAGUUUUUGUGACCCCCAAUCCACCGGCCAGUCUAGUGCCAGAUCACUUGGCCUACUCUAUCUUUACCAUGCUGUGCUGCUGUUUACCUCUGGGCAUUGCUGCACUGCAUGGUAAAGAUGGAGUAGCCCAAGUGAUCUGGCACUAGACUGGCCGGUGGAUUGGGGGUCACAAAAACUGCAGGCUGCACACCAACCACGCACUGUCCUGGAUAUGGCCGGGUGUGACUGAAAGACUGGCUGGGAUCCAUUUGUCUGAUUAUUGGAUUUUGAUUGUAAUUUUCUUUCUGCCUUGGUCUCUGCAGCAAUGUAUGUAUUACUGUUCUCUGGUUCGGUCUUUUCUGUUCUGAAGUUAGCAAAUGGGAGGUGAAUUGUAGGUAUGUAGGGGAGGAGUGACAAGAUCUUUACCCCUGUUUCCAUUAUACUCUGUGACUGCAGACACCAACUUGUGGUUUUACUUUUACGACGAAAUGCAUGAAAUAUCAG